AUGGUUUCUGGCAGUUAUCUCCUGGCCGUCAUCUUCAUUUCUAUUCAGGGAUCCUGUGGAGAGAUUGUGAUGACCCAGACUCCAGAUUAUACCUCUGUGUCCCCAGGAGACACAGUCACCAUGUCAUGUAAAGCCAGUGAAGAUAUAGGCUACAGCUUACACUGGUACCAACAGAAACCGGGGAAAUCUCCAAAGCUUCUCAUCAAAGCAGCAGAUGAGCGAUUCACAGGAGUCCCAGACCGGUUCACUGGAUCUGGAUCUGGAACAGAUUUCACUCUGACAAUCAGAGGAGUGACAGAAGACGAUGCAGGAGAUUACGCUUCAUACACAGAAGAAGAAGAAGAAGAAGAAAACUAUCAGAGCGAUCAGUGGUUUAUAAUUUCUCUUCUUAUGUAA